rnacentral:tRNA from 1 species
GCAGUGGUGGUUCAGCGGUAGAAUUCUCGCCUUCCAUGCUUGAGACCUAGGUUCGAUUCCUAGCCAAGGCC